rnacentral:rRNA from 1 species
UACGGAGGGGGCUAGCGUUGUUCGGAAUUACUGGGCGUAAAGCGCACGUAGGCGGCUUUGUAAGUUAGAGGUGAAAGCCCAGGGCUCAACCCUGGAAUUGCCUUUAAGACUGCAUCGCUUGAACAUCGGAGAGGUAAGUGGAAUUCCGAGUGUAGAGGUGAAAUUCGUAGAUAUUCGGAAGAACACCAGUGGCGAAGGCGACUUACUGGACGGAAUUGUUGACGCUGAGGUGCGAAAGCGUGGGGGAGCAAACAGG